AGGGAAAUUUUAGUACCGAAGUUCCUGAUUCCACACUGCCAAGAAAAGCCUCUAGUGAGGUGAAAGGCGCCCGUACCGCAAACCGACACAGGUAGGCGAGGAGAGAAUCCUAAGGUGAGCGAGAGAACUCUCGUUAAGGAACUCGGCAAAAUGACCCCGUAACUUCGGGAGAAGGGGUGCUUUUUGGGGUGUAUGCCCCGGGAAGCCGCAGUGAAUAGGCCCAGGCGACUGUUUAGCAAAAACACAGGUCUCUGCGAAGCCGCAAGGCGAAGUAUAGGGGCUGACACCUGCCCGGUGCUGGAAGGUUAAGGAGAGGGGUUAGCCGUAAGGCGAAGCUCUGAACUGAAGCCCCAGUAAACGGCGGCCGUAACUAUAACGGUCCUAAGGUAGCGAAAUUCCUUGUCAGGUAAGUUCUGACCCGCACGAAAGGUGUAACGAUCUGGGCACUGUCUCAACGAGAGACUCGGUGAAAUUAUAGUACCUGUGAAGAUGCAGGUUACCCGCGACAGGACGGAAAGACCCCAUGGAGCUUUACUGCAGCCUGAUAUUGAAUUUUGGUACAGCUUGUACAGGAUAGGUAGGAGCCUUGGAAACCGGAGCGCCAGCUUCGGCGGAGGCAUCGGUGGGAUACUACCCUGGCUGUAUUGAAAUUCUAACCCGCACCUCUUACCGGGGUGGGAGACAGUGUCAGGCAGGCAGUUUGACUGGGGCGGUCG
rnacentral:rRNA from 2 species